UGAUAACACAACUAUGUAUUUAUUUGUAUUCUUUUUAACUCAGUACGAGCCUAAUCAAUUAUGUAGGGGCCACACCAAAGCAGAUUCUCCUGCUGAUGAGAGAGAAAGACAUGUGCAUAUCUCAUGUCAAAAGCCAUCUUCAGGUACCUGGAUAAUCUAACACUCAGACAAGGAUGAUCCUAGUAAAGUCAACUUUAUGAUCAACCAUAUUUUCAUUUUUAUAGUCUCUAAAACAUGAUUAUUCUGAAUAAAAACUCCAUAUCCUUUCCUAGAGUGUAUCUCAAAGAAAGAUAAUGUUUUCAGUGUAUGAUCUUGAUGGUCUUUGGAUCUCUAGUUCAAGAGAAUAUCAAGUGAGUGGGCUGUUGAUCAUUAAGUGUUCUUCGCUAAUUGAGGAAAAGAUGAUCAGGGAUGUCCGCAUAUAUUUUUAGAAAAAUCAACGAAUUUUUCCUAAGGUGAUGUUGAUCAUUUUCCAUUAGCCAUGAUAAAAUGUUGAUCAAUAUGACGUUAUUCGUCCUCUUCCUCUCGCUGUUCUAUUACUAUCUGAGGAGGUUCCCUUCCGGCUGUCAAGAUUUAAAGUUCAUCUGGAAGAAUUUUUAGAAUCAAAAGUCAACUUUAUAUCAGAAUUCAGAUGAAAUUUUGAAGGGACCCAUGAGUCACUAAAGUCAACGGAUUUAGACAGUUACAAUUUACUAGGAAGCCACAUAGACUUAUAUUGAGAUCAACAUUUCCUCAUUUAAUUUCAGACGUACAGAAACACGAAGAACCACAUCCACUUUCGCUGCCGUCCGCCAAACAAAAACACGGAUAGAGAGAGAAAGAUCGGAUCAGAGAGAAACCCAAGCCAGGGGAUCCCAUCCCAAAGGUAAGUUAGUCUAAGUAGUGAGAGUAGCCUGGAACUAUGAACAGUGGAGGGGGCUGGGCAUGAGGACGGCUUGAACGUUUCUUCUCCAGGUUGUUUGUGGAGAAGUUUUCGGAGGAAUGGGGACCAAAGAUGGCUGACUUUUCCAUGCUGGGCUUCUGCGGGAAGAGCCCAGGAAUCGGCCAACAUAAGGUAAUCACGCCUUCCGCCACUGUAUUGCUCUCUCUCUCUCUC
rnacentral:lncRNA from 1 species